rnacentral:rRNA from 1 species
UACGUAGGGUGCAAGCGUUAAUCGGAAUACUGGGCGUAAAGCGUGCGCAGGCGGUUGUGCAAGACAGAUGUGAAAUCCCCGGGCUCAACCUGGGAACUGCAUUUGUGACUGCACAGCUUGAGUGCGGCAGAGGGGGAUGGAAUUCCGCGUGUAGCAGUGAAAUGCGUAGAUAUGCGGAGGAACACCGAUGGCGAAGGCAAUCCCCUGGGCCUGCACUGACGCUCAUGCACGAAAGCGUGGGGAGCAAACAGG